rnacentral:misc_RNA from 1 species
GAUGAAGAAUGCAGCGAAAUGCGAUACUUUGUGUGAAUUGCAGAAUCCCGUGAACCAUCGAGUCUUUGAACGCAAGUUGCGCCCGAAGCCAUUAGGCCGAGGGCACGCCUGCCUGGGCGUCACACGUCGUUGCCCCCCCAUCUACUCCUUCGGGAUUGCGGGGGGCGGAUGAUGGCCUCUCGUGCGCCUCGUCGCGCGGUUGGCCUAAAUGCCAAGUCCUCGGCGACGCACGCCACGACAAUCGGUGGUUGCGAAACCUCGGUUGCCUGUCGUGUGCGGUCGUCGCGCAUCGAGGGCUCGAAAAAAUUGCCGGGCUUCGGCUCGACUUUCAACGCGACCCCAGGUCAGGCGGGGUUACCCGCUGAAUUUAAGCAUAUCAAUAAGCGGAGGA